GUUGGUGUUCAUGUCUUUAUGGAACCACGCCCAUCCAUCUCGAACUGGGACGUGAAACGUAAAGAGGGUGACGAUACUGCGGGGGGGGCCCUGUGGGAAAUUAGCCUAAUGCCAACAA
rnacentral:rRNA from 1 species